AGGACGAACGCUGGCGGCGUGCCUAACACAUGCAAGUCGAGCGGAAAGGCCCUUCGGGGUACUCGAGCGGCGAACGGGUGAGUAACACGUGAGUAAUCUGCCCCUAGCUCUGGGAUAGCUCCGGGAAACCGGGAUUAAUACCGGAUACGACCACCUUAGACAUCUUUUGUGGUGGAAAGAAUUUCGGCUAGGGAUGAGCUCGCGGCCUAUCAGCUUGUUGGUGGGGUAACGGCCUACCAAGGCGACGACGGGUA
rnacentral:rRNA from 1 species